GGACUGUGCUUGGCACUGGACACUGGAGUGUCCACUGUCUGCAGGACUGUGCUUGGCACUGGACGCUGGAGUGUCCACUGUCUGCAGGACUGUGCUUGGCACUGGACGCUGGAGUGUCCACUGUCUGCAAAGCUGUGCUUGGCACUUGAUGCUGGAGUAUGCACUGUCUGCAGGGCUGAGCUUAGCACUGAAUGCUGGAGUCUGUUGUCUGCAGGACUGUGCUUGGCACUGGAUGCUGGAGUGUCCACUGUCUGCGGGACUGUGCUUGGCACUGGACGCUGGAGUGUCCACUGUCUGCAGGGCUGUGCGUAGUUAGCAUGAGGAAUAUGGAGACCAUCUAUAAACAGGGUUCAUAGUAGCUGGACCUCAUGUUUAUUGAGCACUUAUUAUGCAACAGGUGCCAAACUGGAUAUCAGAUCAAGUGGCACCGCCAAAAUUCAUUUCAAUUCUGUUUACUUCCUUCUGUGUGCAUUGUCCAUUAGGAUGGACCCCUACCAGUCACUUGGGUGGGGGCCCCGGCCUGAGUCCUAUCCUAGCCCCAGGCUAGCUCUGGCUGUCCUGGAACUCGCUCUGUAGACCAGACAGACUUCUGCCUCCUGAGUACUGUGAUUAAAGGUGUGUGUCACCAACACCUAGCUAGGCGCCUGCUUCUUAUCACUAUGCUGUGACUACCAUUGUCUCCCUCUCUGUCCCCAGGACCUUCCUAUGAGCCAUCCUUCUAUACAGAGACCUCACCCAGAUCAGUGCUGGCUCCUCCUCCCCGUGAGAGCGCCAUUCACAGUCUUUUCAGCGUCUCAGAUAAUACUUCUGGGACUCGCCACCACUCCCUCUCACUCCACUCCCUUCUAGCUUGUAGGGGUACCCAAUGCCACUUUGCUGAUAAUGUCAUCAUCUGUCCCCUGAGUAACAUGUCCACAACAUGUCCUGUAUUGCCAACAUAGGUGCCUUAGUGGCUGACGUUCAAUGUGAAUGGUGACCAGAUGACCAACCAAGCAAUGAAUGUGGUCCCUGUCCCCGCUGAGAAGACACGCUUUGCUGCCAUUUUUAAAGAGGAUGAGGUGUGCAUCUGGCUGUCCUUGCACCUUUGCUGAGAAAUCCUUCAGAGACCCCUGGGCAGUGGAGACUCCACCCAUGAUACGUCCCAGAAGGCCUCAGAAGAAGGGACCUGUGGAGGGAAGUGUCCCUGGGAACACAGUGGCCCAGACCUCCUGCUCCUGGAAAUGAUUUACACACAAUUUUCUUAUGCCAUGUAACUUUUACCCACCCUCAUCUGUUUUUUUAGGCUUCUUCAUCAAACUUAACUGCUGGAAACAAAACUGCCUCUA
rnacentral:lncRNA from 1 species